GCGAUCGUAGCUCAGUCGGUAGAGCACCGGGUUGUGAUCCUGGAUGUCGCGGGUUCAAGUCCCGUCGGUCGCC
rnacentral:tRNA from 2 species